GAGGGGUGCAAGCGUUAUUCGGAAUCACUGGGCGUAAAGGGUGCGUAGACGGCUUGCUAAGUCUGCUGUUAAAUUCUUCGGCUUAACCGAGGAUAUGCGGCGGAAACUGGUUUGCUUGAGGAUGGAAGAGAGAAGUGGAAUUCCCGGAGUAGCGGUAAAAUGCGUAGAUCUCGGGAGGAACACCAAUGGCGAAGGCAGCUUCUUGGUCCAUUCCUGACGUUGAGGCACGAAAGCGUGGGGAGCAAACAGGGAUUAGAUACCCUGGUAGUCCACGCUGUAAACGAUAACCACUAGACGUCAGCUAAGCGUUGCUUAGUUGGUGUCGAAGCUAACGCGUUAAGUGGUUCGCCUGGGGAGUACGGUCGCAAGAUUA
rnacentral:rRNA from 1 species